rnacentral:rRNA from 1 species
GAUGAACGCUGGCGGCGUGCCUAAUACAUGCAAGUCGAGCGAACAGACGAGGAGCUUGCUCCUCUGACGUUAGCGGCGGACGGGUGAGUAACACGUGGAUAACCUACCUAUAAGACUGGGAUAACUUCGGGAAACCGGAGCUAAUACCGGAUAAUAUAUUGAACCGCAUGGUUCAAUAGUGAAAGACGGUUUUGCUGUCACUUAUAGAUGGAUCCGCGCCGCAUUAGCUGGUUGGUAAGGUAACGGCUUACCAAGGCGACGAUGCGUAGCCGACCUGAGAGGGUGAUCGGCCACACUGGAACUGAGACACGGUCCAGACUCCUACGGGAGGCAGCAGUAGGGAAUCUUCCGCAAUGGGCGAAAGCCUGACGGAGCAACGCCGCGUGCGUGAUGAAGGUCUUCGGAUCGUAAAACUCUGUUAUUAGGGAAGAACAAAUGUGUAAGUAACUAUGCACGUCUUGACGGUACCUAAUCAGAAAGCCACGGCUAACUACGUG